rnacentral:lncRNA from 1 species
GGUGGGGGAAAUGAUAAAUUUAUUCAGUAAUAUUAAACUGGAAACAGACCAUCCUAGUGAAAAAUGGAUGGCAAGAUAGUAACAAUAUUACAUUAAUGUCUAUCAUUUACCAAAAUUACGGUCCCUGCUACCCAAAAAAACAAAGAUUGUUGAGAAAACUAUAUGUUAUGUGCCAUUUGCAUUAGCUACUUGCUGCUAGUGUUUCAAGAUUUCUCAUUUGCCUCUGCUUUUGUACAGGAGAAAUGCCGGUGUAAGCAAUGGAGGUGUUUGUAGCAUCAGCUGAGUAUUCAUAACUCUUUUUGGCUUCAACGACUCGGGUUUGAAGGAGCUGAAAACAGAGGCCUCAAGGGAGACACAGGUCAUCUCGGGAAAGAAGCUUUCCUGAUUUGGAACUAGCUGGAGUAAAAAGCAACUCCAAGCUAAAGUCAGGACCAGAUAUUGAUCUUCCAUUACCACCAACUUUAUCUAGCUCUCCUAUGGAAAACUGCAUAAAUAAAAACGGAGACUGAUAAGCAUGUUCAAGGAGAACAAAACUGGCUUGGCAAAAAAACAAAGAUUGUUGAGAAAACUAUAUGUUAUGUGCCAUUUGCAUUAGCUACUUGCUGCUAGUGUUUCAAGAUUUCUCAUUUGCCUCUGCUUUUGUACAGGAGAAAUGCCGGUGUAAGCAAUGGAGGUGUUUGUAGCAUCAGCUGAGUAUUCAUAACUCUUUUUGGCUUCAACGACUCGGGUUUGAAGGAGCUGAAAACAGAGGCCUCAAGGGAGACACAGGUCAUCUCGGGAAAGAAGCUUUCCUGAUUUGGAACUAGCUGGAGUAAAAAGCAACUCCAAGCUAAAGUCAGGACCAGAUAUUGAUCUUCCAUUACCACCAACUUUAUCUAGCUCUCCUAUGGAAAACUG